rnacentral:sRNA from 1 species
AUCCUCGAUCUGCUGCGGGCAGAUGAAAUGGAUGUGGCUGUCAAAGCCCCCCGCCGUCAGGAUCUUGCCCUCGCCCGCAAUCGCCUCCGUGCCGGGGCCGACGAUGAUAUCCACCCCCGGCUGCGUAUCGGGGUUGCCCGCCUUGCCGAUGGCGGCGAUCCGCCCGUCCUUCAGCCCGAUGUCGGCCUUGUAGAUCCCGGUCCAGUCCAGCACGAGCGCGUUGGUGAUCACCGUAUCCACCGCGCCCUCUGCCCGCGUCACCUGAGACUGCCCCAUCCCGUCCCGGAU